rnacentral:rRNA from 1 species
UUGACGGGGCCCGCACAAGCGGUGGAGUAUGUGGUUUAAUUCGAUGCAACGCGAAGAACCUUACCUGGUCUUGACAUCCCGGAGACCCUUAGGAAACUAGGGGGUGCUUCCAUCUGGAAGAAUCUGGAGACAGGUGCUGCAUGGCUGUCGUCAGCUCGUGUCGUGAGAUGUUGGGUUAAGUCCCGCAACAAGCGCAACCCUUGCCUUUAGUUGCCAGCAGUUCGGCUGGGCACUCUAAAGGGACUGCCGGUGUUAAACCGGAGGAAGGUGGGGAUGACGUCAAGUCCUCAUGGCCUUUAUGACCAGGGCUACACACGUACUACAAUGGCCGAUACAAAGGGCAGCGACACUGCGAGGUGAAGCCAAUCCCGUAAAAUCGGUCUCAGUCCGGAUUGGAGUCUGCAACUCGACUCCAUGAAGUUGGAAUCGCUAGUAAUCGUGGAUCAGCAUGCCACGGUGAAUACGUUCCCGGGCCUU